rfam:Schistosoma rodhaini strain Burundi genome assembly, scaffold: SROB_scaffold0009981
GCACUGCUGAAGAGUACCAAAAUAGGAUGAAACAGCUGUCCAGUGC